rnacentral:tRNA from 1 species
GGGCGUGUAGCUCAGAAGGUAGAGCACGCGUGAGUCCAAAAGGUCUCCGCCAGAAGAAGUCGUCGGUUCGAUUCCGACCACGCCAAGACCGA